GAUGAACGCUAGCGACAGGCCUAACACAUGCAAGUCGAGGGGCAGCACAAGGAGCAAUCUGAGGUGGCGACCGGCGCACGGGUGAGUAACACGUAUGCAACCUACCUGUAAGAGGGGAAUAACCCGUUGAAAAACGGACUAAUACCGCAUAACACUGUAGAACCGCAUGGUUUGACAGUUAAACAUUUAUGGCUUACAGAUGGGCAUGCGCAUGAUUAGCUAGUUGGUGAGGUAACGGCUCACCAAGGCAACGAUCAUUAGGGGUUCUGAGAGGAAGGUCCCCCACACUGGUACUGAGACACGGACCAGACUCCUACGGGAGGCAGCAGUGAGGAAUAUUGGUCAAUGGGCGAGAGCCUGAACCAGCCAAGUCGCGUGAAGGAUGAAGGUUUUAUGAAUUGUAAGCUUCUUUUGCAGGGGAAUAAAGUGUCCGACGUGUCGGAUUUUGUAUGUACUCUGCGAAUAAGGAUCGGCUAACUCCGUG
rnacentral:rRNA from 1 species